GCAAAAGUCUGAUUCGUGGAGCUUCGAACGGGAUAUGCAGCUCUGAUUGGUUCCUGGCCUGUGGUUCAGUCACGUGAGCUGAGGCCAGCUACAGUGCGACUGGGUACAGAGCCAGGUAACCCAACACUACCGCAUGUGCCUAAAUCCUGACCUGGAGAGAACAGCCUCUACAGAGUCCAAAAGGAAGUUCCAGGCCAGUGGGUCUCGGCAUCUCCCAAUGUUAUCUCCAGCUGUCCAUGUCAGCAGCUCUGGACUCUCUCUUUACUGGAAGAACUAAUUUUGUACUGCAGUGCUGCACCAUCAUUUGCAGUUUGACACUAAAAUACGGUUUGCCUGACCACUUUCUGCAUGUGCCUAAAAAAACAGAUAUUUACACCUUGCACAAAAUCUGAAGGCUAGUUUAGAUUAUUUUUUUAAAGCCUUCUUACCUUGGCAGAGUGAGUAUUACACAGUACAUAGCAUCAAACUCCUGCUUCAUGUUCUCUCUGGGAUACCAGCAAUAAGACUCAGUAAACUAGCAGGUACAAAAAUGAGCAUAGACCAGUUAACACAGACUUCCCUUUAAUAAAUGAUGAAGCACCACAUCACGAUUGACUUGCAUUUCAAACAUUGUCACCCAUUGAAGUAUCAGACAAUCUUGGGCUGUUACUGAAUGAGAAGA